GCUUGCGGCCGGAGGCGCGGAAUGCAACGAUGCACGAGUCUUCUGACCGACAGAAUGUGAUCGAAAAAUACCUCCAAGGGUUACAUCAUCAUGAAUACGGCUACUCCCACGACUACCUGAAGUCAGGCGAUGAGCUUAAGCUUUUUGAGAGGUCCUUGGCUGCCGUCAACGAGAGCCAAUGUCGUCUUCUCCAUGAUCCACUCCGGGUGCAGAAUCUCUCUUGACAAUGUGCCGUUUCGAGUUGUCAAGGAAACCAUCAAAAUCUGCAUAUUUGGAACAGAAUACUAUAAGAAGACUCCAGGGGAAAAAAAGAC
rnacentral:lncRNA from 1 species